GCUUCCUCAGUAGCUGUGAAGUAGCCUCAGGAAUCUUCCACUUUAUAAGUGGAAGAUUCCUGAGGCUACUUCACAGCUACUGAGGAAG